rnacentral:lncRNA from 10 species
GUCACUGGGGUGCGCGACGGGCCCUUCCCUGAGCCCCUUUCCAUGGAGCCCAGGCCCCAACGGCGGCAGCUGCCCCUGCCUGACAUCCGGACCCAGCCUCACCUCUCCUUUCACAGCGAGCCCUGCUGGCACUGGGGGCCUGCAUUCCAGUUUUCCUCCCCAGCUGUGGGAUGCUGUUGGCGCCUUGGUGCCAGCCGCUGAGGUGAGCAGGUGGGUGAGGGGCUCCGUGAAGCUCUGGCAUCUGGUGUCCGGCCCAGGACUUGGGGGUGCUGGCCUCGCCGCCUGGCCGGGUCAUACAUAAGGGGUCGGUCAGCUCUGCCCCAGGCCAGGAUGCUGCUGGGCCCACAGCCGCCCCAGGACCCCCUCAGCCCAGGUGCCCUCCCUCAGUGCUCAGUUCCGGGGAUGACUGUGUCCCCCACCCCGUCACGCUGCUCAGCGAGCACCCUGUAAUCCCAUAUGGUAACUCAUGAAUCUACCCACUAAGAAACCACAACAUGUGAUUCCUCGAGGGAGGCUGGGGGGUAGUCGCGGAGUCGUGGCUGGGCCCAGCCGCGGACUCAGGUCUGUGAUGGGCUAACCUGUGCCCCCACAUCCGCAGGUGGGCGGCCUGACCCUAGACUCAGAGCGUGACUUCUUUGGAGACAGGGUCAUUGAAGGUGUGUGUGACGAUGAGGCCACGGGGUCACCCCUGACCAGUGUGACCAGUGUCCUUAUAAAAGGGGCGUGGACCCAGGCGGGCCUAGAGGGAUGGUGGCACAGAGGCAGGAGAAAAUGCCCACCAAAGCCCAGGAGGAGGCCUGGGACAGGCCCUUCCCGGCGCCUUCAGAGGGAGCCUGGCCCUGCCAGAUGCCUGGUCUCACGUCGGCCUCCAGGACUGCGAGACCUUCCUGCUGUGUGGGUGCCCAGUGCCAGCACUUGCUAAGGGUCCCCAGCCCCAGGAAAGCAGUGCCGUCCCCUGAGCCAAGUGGACCUCUCUCUGCUUCUGUGGCUUCUCUAUAUUUAGUUAUCAUGUUUCAAAGGCUUAUCAAAUCCCUGGGCAUAAAACGUUUUACGAAUCUGUCUAAAUAACGUUCCAAGGUGUCUCAUACUCGACGGAAUCUUGGACGGUGCUGCCCCUUGCAGGUGGCUGGGACUGCCUGGGUACAGCCUCUCCUUGGUUUUCAGCUUGGCUCUGCCUUCACCCCACAUGGGGUUCCGUCUGGCCCUAGCGGGGAGGGUGCUUGGCUCGGGCAGUGGGCUGGGCGGCCCCUGGCCCAGGACGGCUCUGGAGAAUAAGGAGGCCACCACAGGCCGGUAGGCCUGAGACCUCUGCCCCUUCUGAGGCCGCGGGGUUGAGCAGCUGAGCAGCUGACUCUCCCAUGGUCAGUGAGGGCUCAGCAUUUUCUCUUCUGGUUGAAAUAGAAACUGGGAAGUUGGAGGCCAAGAUUGAGGGGCAGGCGGAGGUGGUUCUCCUGCCAAGCUUCCUAAACGGCAGAAGCAGCAGAAGCAGCUAGGGUUAGUGUUGGCUUCUCUCUCUCUCUCUCUCUCUCUCUCUCUCUCUCUCUCUGUGUCUCUCUGUCUCUCUCUGUCUCUCUCUCUCUGUGUCUCUCUCUCUCUGUCUCUGUCUCUCUGUCUCUCGGUCUCUCUGUCUCUGUCUCUCUGUCUCUGUCUCUCUCUCUCUGUCUCUCUCUCUCUCUCUCUCAUUUAUUUCUAGAGCAUUUACAAAUUAAUUUUCCUGGUCUAAACCGGGAGGGGCUGCCAUGAUAAAAUGAAGCUGUUUGGUGUUCCAUGUCGAUCUCCCUGAGACAAUGCACUCCUGAGCCUGCUGGGCCCUGCCUCACAGCUGAGUCCUGGUCAGGGCCCUGCCCCUUCUUCCUCUCCCUUGGCCCUGGUUCCACAGAGACCUAUUUCUCCAGGGCAUCCAGGAAGCACCUACGGUGAUGGGGGAUUGCAUUUCAGCAGCAAUCCAUGUGUGAACAUUAAAACGAUCUCCUUAAAUAUUCAUGGUGACCAUGACCUCAUCUGGCUGCCUCGGGCCAGGGCUGGGUGCAGGUCAGGGAAGGGGGCUCAGGCCCUGAGACCCCAGCCUGGUCCCCAGCAAUACAGCUCCCCUCUGUCCUCUCCUCUCUGAGUCAACCCCUCCUGAGAGCUCCGAUGUCUCCUCUCUGGGGUGGCAGAGGUGGGGGCUGCUUUCCAAGCAAAGAAAUGCUCUGGGGCCACGUGGGAAUAAAUAUUUCAUGGGAGAGCAGACCUAGCCAGUAAAAAAUUAAGCAGCUUUACAUCAUCAGAGAGAGAAAGAAAGGGUUGCCUCAUGUUAUGAGUCUGCUGGUGUCCUUAGGACAGAGACAGGGAGACUGAGGUUUUGGGGUAAAUUAUUUAGGGUGUUGUAGGCUGGUCUAGGAAUGUUAAGCUGAAAUGAGACCGGCCCUGGAAGACGACAGGGGGAGCUGGGGUAAGAAGUGCUGCCUUAUGGAAGGCGUGGCGUGCAGAGACGCUGGCCACGAGGAACCCUUUCCCCGUGCACCUGCGCAGUAGCGCCUGCCUCGCGGGAGGCCCCACAGAUGUUGUUGAAUAAAGGGGCAGUGAGUCAGUGAGGCCAUUUCAGCCAUUUUUCUGUUGCCGCCUCACUCUGGAUUUAUGAAAGUACUUGCUAAUCGACGAUCGUCUUCGCCCGGCAUGCUGCAAAUUCACGUUUAUAUGCCCCCUGCCUCCCCCAAAUCAGCUACGGCAGAGUCAGGGGCAGGGACGGGUGGGCAUGGCCGGGCAGCUGCUCGGCUGCGUCACGCCGGGGGUGGCUGGAGCUGAUUCGGAAGCAGUGAAAUGUGGGCCCGCGUGGCUUCCCUGGAAAGAAAACAGGUCCUUGCCUAGAAAUUCAGUGGGUGACCUAAGAUGAUUGAGGGCUGUGUCCAUGUAAAUUUUUCAGUAAGGUGAGGGGCCAGUUUGUCAGUAAACUCCCUGGUGCUGUAAUUAGGGGGCUAUGUUCAGGAACUGGCUUCCUAAUGUGCAUUGAGGGCAGUGCUGACGCAGCCCAUGUACAUGCUAAAUACACGUGGGAGUGUUUGUGAAGAGACAGGCCUGCACAACACAGGGGACCUGACACUGAGCAUCCAUGUGGCCCUUUCUGGUACCCAGAACUGUGCACCCCCCUGUGCAGCAUCUCACAGGACUAAACAGACAGUAACACAACCCCGAACAGACAGUAAAAACCCGGAACAGAGAGGAACAACCCUGAACAGACAGUAACAACCCGGAACAGAGAGGAAGAACCCCAAACAGGCAGUAACAACCCCCAACAGGCAGUAACAACCCCGAACAGAGAGUAACAACCCUGAACAGAGAGGAACAACCCCGAACUGAGAGGAACAACCCUGAACAGACACUAACAACCCAGAACCAGGCAGUUACAAGCCUGAACAGACAGUAACAACCGGGAACAGACAGUAACAACCCUGAACAGACAGUAAAAACCCGGAACAGAGAGGAAGAACCCCAAACAGGCAGUAACAACCCCCAACAGGCAGUAACAACCCCGAACAGAGAGGAACAAUCCCAAACAGGCAGUAACAACCCCGAACAGAGAGGAACAACCCCGAACUGAGAGGAACAACCCCAAACAGGCAGGAACAACCCUGAACAGACACUAACAACCCAGAACCAGGCAGUUACAAGCCUGAACAGACAGUAACAACCGGGAACAGACAGUAACAACCCUGAACAGACAGUAAAAACCCGGAACAGAGAGGAAGAACCCCAAACAGGCAGUAACAACCCCCAACAGGCAGUAACAACCCCAAACAGAGAGGAACAAUCCCAAACAGGCAGUAACAACCCCGAACAGAGAGGAAGAAUCCCAAACAGGCAGUAACAACCCUGAACAGACAGUAAAAACCCCGGAACAGGGAGGAACAACCCCAAACAGGCAGGAACAACCCCAAACAGGCAGUAACAACCCUGAACAGAGAGUAACAACCCCGAACAGACAGUAACAACCCCGAACAGGCAGUAACAACCCCAAACAGAGAGGAACAACCCUGAACAGACAGUAACAACCCUGAACAGACAGUAAAACCCCAGAACAGAGAGGAACGAACCCAAACAGGCAGGAACAACCCUGAACAGGCAGUAACAACCCUGAACAGAGAGUAACAACCCUGAACAGACAGUAACAACCCAGAACAGGGAGGAACAACCCGGAACAGAGAGGAACAACCCCAAACAGGCAGGAACAACCCCAAACAGGCAGUAACAACCCCGAACAGAGAGUAACAACCCCGAACAGACAGUAACAACCACGAACAGGCAGUAACAACCCCGAACAGAGAGGAACAACCCUGAACAGGCAGUAACAACCCUGAACAGACAGUAAAACCCCAGAACAGAGAGGAACAACCCCAAACAGGCAGGAACAACCCUGAACAGGCAGUAACAACCCUGAACAGAGAGUAACAACCCUGAACAGACAGUAACAACCCAGAACAGGGAGGAACAACCCCAAACAGGCAGGAACAACCCCAAACAGGCAGUAACAAACCCGAAAAGAGAGUAACAACCCCGAACAGACAGUAACAACCACGAACAGGCAGUAACAACCCCGAACAGAGGGGAACAACCCCGAACAGAGAGUAAUAACCCCAAACAGGCCGUAACAACCCCGAACAGGCAGUAACAACCCCGAAGAGAGAGGAACAACCCCGAAAAGAUAGGAACAACAUCGAACAGAGAGGAACAACCCCAAACAGGCUAUAACAACCCCGAAGAGAGAGGAACAACCCCGAAAAGAGAGGAACAACCCCGAAAAGAGAAGAACAACACUGAACAGAGAGGAACAACCCCGAACAGGCAGGAACAACCCCGAACAGGCAGGAACAACCCCAAACAGAGUAACAACCCCGAACAGAGAGGAACAACCCCGAACAGAGGGGAACAACCCCGAACAGAGGGGAACAACCCCGAACAGAGAGUAACAACCCCGAACAGAGAGGAACAACCCCAAACAGGCAGUAACAACCCCGAACAGGCAGUAACAACCCCGAACAGAGAGGAACAACCCCAAACAGGCCGUAACAACCCCAAACAGAGGGGAACAACCCCGAACAGGCAGGAAAAACCCCAAACAGGCAGUAACAACCCCGAACAGAGAGUAACAACCCCAAAGAGAGAGGAACAACCCCGAAGAGAGAGUAACAACACAGAACAGAGAGGAACAACCCCGAACAGGCAGGAACAACCCCGAACAGGCAGGAACAACCCCAAACAGAGAGUAACAACCCCGAACAGAGAGGAACAACCCCGAACAGGCAGUAACAACACCGAACAGAGAGGAACAACCCCAAACAGAGAGGAACAACCCCAAACAGAGAGGAACAACCCCGAACAGAGAGGAACAACACCGAACAGAGAGGAACAACACCGAACAGAGAGGCACAACCCCGAACAGAGAGGAACAACCCCGAACAGAGAGGAACAACCCCGAACAGAGAGGAACAACACCGAACAGAGAGGAACAACACCGAACAGAGAGGCACAACCCCGAACAGAGAGGAACAACCCCGAGCAGGAAGUAACAACCCCGAAGAGAGAGGAACAACCCCGAACAGGCAGUAACAACCCCGAACAGAGAGUAACAACCCCGAACAGAGAGGAACAACCCCGGACAGAGAGGAACAACACCGAACAGAGAGGAACAACCCCGAACAGACAGUAACAACACCGAACAGGCAGGAACAACCCCGAACAGGCAGUAACAACCCCGAAGAGAGAGGAACAACCCCGAAAAGAGAGGAACAACACCAAACACAGAGGAACAACCCCGAACAGGCAAUAACAACCCCGAACAGAGAGGAACAACCCCAAACAGAGAGUAAUAACCCCAAAUAGGCUGUAACAACCCCGAACAGGCAGGAACAACCCCGAACAGAGAGGAACCCCGAAAAGAGAGGAACAACACCGAACAGAGAGGAACAACCCCGAACAGGCAGGAACAACCCCGAACAGAGAGUAACAACCCCGAACAGAGAGUAACAACCCCAAACAGGCAGUAACAACCCCGAAGAGAGAGGAACAACCCCGAACAGGCAGUAACAACCCGAACAGAGAGUAACGACCCCGAACAGGCAGUAACAACCCCAGAGAGGAACAACCCGCAACAGAGAGGAACAACCCCGAACAGAGAGGAACAACCCCGAACAGAGAGGAACAACACCGAACAGGCAGAAACAACCCCGAACAGGCAGGAACAACCCCGAACAGGCAGGAACAACCCCAAAUAGAGAGUAACAACCCCGAAAAGGCAGUAACAACCCGGAACAGGCAGUAACAACCCCAGCUAAACCAAUAGAACCGGCCUGGCAGCCACUCCUGUUCCAGUGCAGCACUCCACCAUGCAGAGGGGUCGGAGAAGCAGUUGUAGGUCACAGCAAGGAGUGGGCCGUGGGGAUCAUGGCCAGGUCGUGAAAUCCAAGUGGCACCCGCCAUGGCACCAGCCAGAACAGGUCCCCUCCUUUCCAAAGGGCAGAGCUGGGGCUGGCCCUGGAGAUGCUGGGGUCAGCAAGGGCUGGGGCUGCGCUCCCUCCUGGGUCUGUGUCAAAAGCAGCCAGCACCGAAGCCUGUCCACAUCGGCCAGGCCCUGUGCAAGCCGCGCUUCCCAGCAGACGGCACGGAAUUGCUGGUGAGAGUGGACGCUGGGCCGGAACAGAGCGGCGCUUCCUG